UUGCUAAGGCUGAUGGCGACCGGCGCACGGGUGAGUAACACGUAUCCAACCUGCCGUCUACUCUUGGCCAGCCUUCUGAAAGGAAGAUUAAUCCAGGAUGGGAUCAUGAGUUCACAUGUCCGCAUGUUCACAUGAUUAAAGGUAUUCCGGUAGACGAUGGGGAUGCGUUCCAUUAGAUAGUAGGCGGGGUAACGGCCCACCUAGUCUUCGAUGGAUAGGGGUUCUGAGAGGAAGGUCCCCACAUUGGAACUGAGACACGGUCCAAACUCC
rnacentral:rRNA from 1 species